UUAAAAAGCUCGUAGUUGAAUUUCGGGGUUAGUAGGUUGGUCAUGCCUCUGGUAUGUACUGGUCUCACUGAUUCCUCCUUCCUUAUGAACCGUAAUGCCAUUAAUUUGGUGUUGCGGGAAAUUUGGACUGUUACUUUGAAAAAAUUAGAGUGUUUAAAGCAAGCUAACGCUUGAAUACAUUAGCAUGGAAUAAUGAAAUAGGACGUUCGAUCUUAUUUUGUUGGUUUCUAGGAUUGACGUAAUGAUUAAUAGGGAUAGUUGGGGG
rnacentral:rRNA from 1 species